GACGAACGCUGGCGGCGUGCCUAAUACAUGCAAGUAGGACGCAGUUGCGAACGGGGGAGUAACGCGUAGUUAACUAACGAUUAGAGGGGGAUAACUAUUGGAAACGACAGCUAAUACCGCAUACUAGUAGAUGGAACUGCGUUGGAUUAGCUAGUAGGUAGGGGAAUGGCCUACCCAGGCAACGAUACCUAGCCGACCUGAGAGGGUGAUCGGCCACACUGGGACUGAGACAAGGCCCAGAAUCCUACGGGAGGCAGCCGUAGGGAAUCUUCGGCAAUGGGUGGAACCCUGACCGAGCAACGCCGCGUGAGUGAAGAAGGUUUUCGGAUCGUAAAGCUCUGUUGUUAAGGAAGCGGUACUUAACCAGAAAGGGACGGCUAACUACGUGCCAGCCGCCGCGGUAAUAC
rnacentral:rRNA from 1 species